UGCGUAGGCGGCGCGGUAAGUCGGGUGUGAAAUCUCGGGGCUUAACUCCGAAACUGCAUUUGAUACUGUGGUGCUUGAGGACUGGAGAGGAGACUGGAAUUCACGGUGUAGCAGUGAAAUGCGUAGAUAUCGUGAGGAAGACCAGUGGCGAAGGCGGGUCUCUGGACAGUUCCUGACACUGAGGCACGAAAGGCCAGGGAGGCAAACG
rnacentral:rRNA from 1 species